UACGAAGGGGGCUAGCGUUGCUCGGAAUUACUGGGCGUAAAGGGCGCGUAGGCGGACAUUUAAGUCGGGGGUGAAAGCCCAGGGCUCAACCCUGGAAUAGCCUUCGAUACUGGAUGUCUUGAGUACGGGAGAGGUGAGUGGAACUCCGAGUGUAGAGGUGAAAUUCGUAGAUAUUCGGAAGAACACCAGUGGCGAAGGCGGCUCACUGGACGACUGUUGACGCUGAGGUGCGAAAGCGUGGGGAGCAAACAGG
rnacentral:rRNA from 1 species